UACAUUUCCAAUGCUAUCCCAACUGUCCU
rnacentral:piRNA from 1 species